AAGCAAUAAGUGAUCCACCUGGGGAGUACGGCGGCAACGCUGAAACUCAAAGGAAUUGACGGGGGCCCGCACAAGCGGAGGAACAUGUGGUUUAAUUCGAUGAUACGCGAGGAACCUUACCUGGGCUUGAAAGGGGAUUGACCUCCCGGGAAACCGGGAUUCUCUUCGGAGCAAUCUCCUAGGUGCUGCAUGGUUGUCGUCAGCUCGUGCCGUGAGGUGUCGGGUUAAGUCCCAUAACGAGCGCAACCCCUAUUGUUAGUUGCCAGCGGGUAAUGCCGGGAACUCUAACGAAACUGCCGGUGUAAACCGAGAGGAAGGUGGGGAUGACGUCAAAUCAGCACGGCCCUUAUGUCCAGGGCUACACACGUGUUACAAUGGCCGGCACAAAGGGCAGCUACUAGGUGACUAGAUGCUAAUCUCUAAAACCGGUCUCA
rnacentral:rRNA from 1 species